rnacentral:rRNA from 1 species
UACAGAGGUCCCAAGCGUUGUUCGGAUUCACUGGGCGUAAAGGGUGCGUAGGUGGUGAGGUAAGUCGGAUGUGAAAGCUCGGAGCUCAACUCCGAAAUGGCAUUGGAAACUACCUUGCUCGAGGGUUGGAGGGGGGACUGGAAUGCUUGGUGUAGCAGUGAAAUGCGUAGAUAUCAAGCGGAACACCAGUGGCGAAGGCGAGUCCCUGGACAACGUCCUGACACUUGAGGCACGAAAGCUAGGGGAGCAAACAGG